CCUACGGGUGGCUGCAGUGAGGAAUAUUGGUCAAUGGGCGGAAGCCUGAACCAGCCAAGUAGCGUGCGGGAUGAAGGCCCUACGGGUCGUAAACCGCUUUUGCACGGGGAUAACACCCUCCACGUGUGGAUGUCUGCAGGUACCGUACGAAUAAGGGCCGGCUAAUUCCGUGCCAGCAGCCGCGGUAAUACGGAAGGCCCGAGCGUUAUCCGGAUUUAUUGGGGUUAAAGGGAGCGUAGGCGGGCGUUCAAGUCAGCUGUAAAAUCGCGCGGCUCAACCGCGCCCCGCAGUUGAAACUGGACGCCUUGAGUUCGCAGAAGGCAGGCGGAAUUCGUGGUGUAGCGGUGAAAUGCAUAGAUAUCACGAGGAACCCCGAUUGCGAAGGCAGCCUGCCGGGGUGCGACUGACGCUGAGGCUCGAAAGUGCGGGUAUCGAACAGGAUUAGAUACCCGAGUAGUC
rnacentral:rRNA from 1 species